CUGUUGCACAGGCUGGAGCUCAGUGGUGCAACCCUUGCUCACCGCAGCCCUGAACUCCUGGGCUCAAGUGAGUCUCCUGCCUCAGGCUCCCGAGUAACUGGGACUACAGGGUGCCCCACCGCACCCAGCUGUUUUUUUGUAGAGACGGGGCGGUGGGGGGGUGGGUGUCUCGCUUUGGGCUGGUCUUGAACUCCUGGUCUCAAGGGAUCCUCCUGCCUUGGCCUCCCAAAGUGCUGGGAUUACAGGUGUGAGCCACCAUGCCUGGCUUAAACUUGUAUUUUAAAAAUAGAUGCCAAGGCUAAAAUUAUAAGCAGUCACUACACAGGGCCUUACAGGACCCUGAGUAUAAACAAAGUCAGCAACCAGCUUAGAAAGUGGGUCCAUUCUUUGCACAAACGCUCCUGAAGGUCCUCUCGGAAGAGGGGCAAAGGGUUCGCUGGAGUAGAAGAGAGGGGAAACAAUCACUUUUGUCCUGGGCAAAUCACUGAAAAACAAGAAGAGCUGCUCCUUAUCGGAUGUGUCUUCUGGAGAUAGAUGGCAUCGCAUAGAGUCAACCAAACGGGAAAUGAAUCAGUGCUUGAAAUAACAGUGACUGCAAAAGAUUUUUCUUAAUUCCCUUCAGACUCAAGAACAGUAACAAUGUCAGUGUCCGGGAGAUGCAAGUCCUCUGUCACAUACUGAGGAAUCACAUCUCAUUCAACAGCCUGUUACAGGGGUCUGGGAAUUGGAUGUGGGAUCUCACGCCUUAUUGUGAUCCUUAACCACCUAUUUAUCUUUGCCAGAAAGACCUAGGGUUGCAGAAAUGAAGAGCUUUGCUUUGAAUGUCCUUUCUCAAAUGGAUGCUGGUAGCGCUGUAGGACCAUUUUUCAAAAAUGAAAAUCUGGGAAGUCAUACUGCCUCAUUUGAGCUUCUUCCCCUCCUGGGAGGGGGUCCUUUCCCAGUUGGAUUGGACCAUCUGCAGCCAGCAGGCUGGGAACGUGCUUAUGUGUCCAGACCAGGGCAGGAGGGCUGGGGCAUGGAGGGGAGCCACCAAAGGGAAAAGCCACUACACAGGCCACCAGGAAAGUGUCCCGAUGAUCUCUGGCAAUGAUUAAUGUAGUUUCUAAGGGCAGGGCGGGCCUGAGGUGCGAUCCAGGAGGAGGAGCGUACAAUCACAGAUUUGUUGCAGGAAGAACAAAAGAAGAAAAGGCAGAACAAAAAGGGCAGAAAAGCAACUAUGAGAGGCAGAGAAGAUCUGCCGUGGGGGAAAGGAGCCUUGAUGUCCAUGAGCUCACUACCGGGAGGCCAGCACGGAGGCCUCAGGACAGAAAGGCUGGCAAAGUACGCUCCUUGAAUCGGGUAGUUACUGAGCAAACUUAGAACCUACAGAGAGAAGCCUCGGCAAGAUAGGGGAAGGCUGUCACCUGGGCUGGGAGCGGGCAGGGUGGAAGGGCCACUCCUGGCUCCCAGGUUGCUCAGCGUUCACACAUCUACCCCGGCCGCAUCAGCCUCCCUGCUGGCCGCAUGGUUAGGAGGACCACAGUUGAAGUGAGGUAGAACAAUUUCCACCUCAUAAGUCUGUGCUCAAACUAUCAACCAAACGUAAGGGUAUAAUAAAGAUAUUUGCAAAUAUUCAUGUCCCCAACGUUCUCUGUCAUGCAUCCUUUCUCACAAGGCAACUGGAGGAUAUGGCUUAUCAAAAGUAAAGAGCGAUAUAAGCCGAAGAGCAUUGAAAACAUAUGUCCACAUAAAAAGUUCCACAAAUUUUGUAACAGCAUCAUGCGUAAUAGCCCCAAAGAAGAAACAACCCAAAUGUCUAUCCACUGAUAAAUGGGUAAAUAAAAUGUAGUACAUCGACACAAUGGAACAAAGUAGUGGUACAUGCUACAACAUAAAGAACCCUGAAAACAUUACGCUGAGUGAAAGAAGCCAGCCACAAACGGAAAGUGACUGCUAAUGGGUGCAGGAUUUCUUUCUGGGAGAAGUAAAAUGUUUUGGUACUACAUGGUGGCACAACUCUGUGAAUAUAAUGAAACUACUGAAUUAUACACUUUGAAGAGGUGAAUUUUAUAAUAUGUAACUUAUGCUUCAAUUAAAUGAGUUUUCUAUUUCAAUUUUAGUUAAAAAUAAAUAUGUAAAUUGAGAAAGUCAAAUUUUGGAGGGUCUUCAACAUAAGAGACAGGCAAAGGGAAUGCCCAGGAUAAUAGGAACAUCCCAGGACAGCUGUGCAGCAGUCUUGGAAAGUAACACUUCAAGAUUAGAACAGAAGAUCGAGGAUUCUGAGAAAGAUGUCUCCAAUUCAAAAAUGAGUUGGUGUUGAUGAGUUUGAAAAUAUUCAAAAUAAUUUUAUAAUACAAUCAGUUUGGUGACAAAUUAGUGAUUAGUACAUAGAAAACUAAACAGAAGGAAAAUGAGAAAAACUAUUAAAUCUAGAAAAGACAAAAAGCUAAACAAGAAAGAAAUUAUAACUAGAGUACACUAUAUGACUCAGCUGUGAUUAAUAGCUGCACAGUCAUAAUGUAAACACAAAUACAUACAGAACUAAAAACUGAGAUACAAUAUUGGCAAGAGAGGAAGUCUAUGGGUGUUUGUGCACAGGAGGUAAAAUGCAUUAUCAGUAGAUAAUAUCUAAAAUCAAAAAGUCAAAAAUAUCAGUAUAGUCAAAUAUAGUACAUAGAAAUAUGGAUAUAAAAGCCAGAAAAUAAAAAGCAGCUAAAGCAGUUAAAAGCAUUCAUCUCAGAGGGGUAAAUAUUAGAAGUUUCAUGGAUGAGGCAGGAAAAGACUGUUUUUAUUAUUCACCUAAGUAAACUACUUGAUUUUUAAAAAUACGUAGAUGAUAUUAUUAGAAAUUUGAAUUUUAUUUCGUGUCAUGUAAGAGAAUGUGUACUGUCUACUGAAAGAAUCGAAGGUUCUCUCAUUCUCAUAUUUUCUCUCUACCUCUCUUUAACCAAGUUCAUGCACAGUAAGUUCUCGAUGUCGUGGAUAGGUUCUUGGAAACUGUGACUUCAAGUGAAAGAAAAACAAGUUUCCCAAAGGCUGGUUGAUAUAUACAAGAGUUAGGCCUCUAUGUAUAUUUCUGGCCACAAAAACAUUACAAACUUCUAAACAAAGACCAAAAUUCUUCCACUAUAAAACACUGAAAUAACUGUGAGCUAUACAUCCAUUUAAGAUAGAUUAAUAAAAACAGGCAAGGUAAUUAUUUACCCAAUUAUUCCAGAUCAGGGUGGUGGGUGACCGGAGCCUGUUCUGACAGCUCAAGGCCAAGGUGGAAACCAGUCCCGGACGGGACACCAUCCCAUCGCAGGGUGCACUCACACGCGCCCACGCUCACUCGCACUGGGACCAUUUAGACAAGAUGAUCACCUCACAUGCACGACUUUGGGGUGUGGGCGGGAGGAAACCAGAGCACCUGGGAAACCCAUGCAGACCUGGGGAGAACGUGCAAACUCCACACAGACGGGGUCCCCACCCUGGCUGGGAAGCCACGUUUUUGCCCAUCAAUAUUAUAAGGAAACAACAUUGAACAAAACGUUAUUCGAGGACCUGCUGUAUGAUACUUUUCAAAAAAUGAUACAAGAAAAUUUCCUAAAGUUAAAGAAGAUAAUUAUUUAGGUUGAAAUGGACUACUAUAUCCCUCAAUUUUACAUAGCUGGUUAUUAUCACACAUAUCUUUAAAGCCCAGUUCAGCAAAACUAAAUUAAAAGGCCUAAUGGCGUGUUUUUUUUUUUUUCUCUUGAAGGGUCUGCCAACAUUUUCACACUAAAGCAGUUUAACUGUAAGCAACACAGAGAAAACGCACACCUCUGACCCUUAAGGUUGUGCGCACGACUGAGGUUUCUCCUUCUAGGGCACCAGAUGGCACGGAUGCAUUGUGGGGGUUGAUUUCAAUGUGUGUGGUUCAAUCUUCGGCACCAUUUCUCCAAAUUACCCAGUGGCCAAGCUUUUAGCAUAUGAACAGAAAAACACUAGCAAGCCAGGCGCAGUGGCUCACACCUGUAAUCCCAGCACUUUGGGAGGCUGAGGCAGGCGGAUCACCUGAGGUCAGGAGUUCAAGACCAGCCUGGCCAACAUGGGGAACCCCCUUCUCAACAAAAACGCAAAAAUUAGCCAGGCAUGAUGGCGGGUGCCAGUAAUCCCAGCUACUCAGGAGGCUGAGGCAGGAGGAUCGCUUGAACCCGGGAGGUGGAGGUUGCAGUGAACUGAGAUCAUGCCAUUGCACUCCAGCCUGGGCGACAGGGUGAGACGCCGUCUCAAAAUGAAAAAAAAAAAAAGAAAAACACUAGCAAUGAGACUUGGUGUGCUAAUCAUGGAUAGUUAAGACUUGUGGAUGUCAAAGUUCUGCUCUGCAAAGUUUUUUUUUUAUGUUCUGCAUAGUUUGAAAAUUUAUGUUCUGCAUAGUUUGAAAACAGUAAAGUUUAUCCACUGGGCAAAUGCCAUACUCAUUUCCUGUUAAGAGUACAGAGGGUAGAUUGGAAGAAUAGUGAUACACUUUCUAAUGCAUUGGUUCUGGCUCUCCAUUAUCUAUGUAUGUAUGUAUCUAUCUAUGUAUGUAUCUGUCAUCUAUCUAUCUGCCUACCUGUCUGUCUUUCUCUAUAUAUAUAUCCUCACUCCCAAGGAAACCAAAGAUAUAUCUGUUGAUCACAUCAUUGUUUAAAGAAGCAAAACUAAAGGAAAAUGCUUGUAAACAUUUUGAAUUGCUUUGCAUAGUUUUGAGAUAAUUGGUGUCAGAAUUUUGACUUUCUAUAUUUGAAAGAAUGAAAUAAAAAUUUUAAAAAAAUUAAAAAGCAGAAACGGCCUACUACCGAACAGCCAUUCCUCCCUCCUCCUUUGGAACAGAACCUGAUUGCUUUAGGUCUUCAUGUUCCUGGUGCAGCCCCAGCCCCAGAGCCUGGACCUGUGUUGGUCUACAUCCACCAUGAUCAUUCUAAUCAGAAGCCUAGGAAGAGGCAUGUGGCCCAGUUCUGGCUGAUUAGAUAUUAGAAAAGUCUCCCAGGAGAGGGUCUGUGAUGGAUUUCUUGGUUCUCGAAAUAAGACACAAGGAAAAGAUAGUUCCCUCUUCUGCUCUGGACACUGCAUGGCCAGAAUGUGUUUCCUGAACUCACCACAGCCCUCCGCAGCUAGCUGACAUGCUGAAGUUGGCAGACAGAGACAAUAGGGAAAAGAUGAGACUUGAUGGCAAGGCCCUGGGACUGCUUUACUUUGGGAAUUCUUAUUAUAUGAACCAAUAAGCCUCCAUAUGAUUUAAGUUGCCAUGAAUUGGCUGUUUGAUUACUUGCAGCUGAAAGCAUCCUGAAUGACAGAGAUCCACAUCUAAACUCACAGGAUGAAUUUUCAGAAUAGCCAGGAUAAAUCUGAAAAAAAAGAAGAAAAUCCUAAAAAGUGUCCAGAGGGGAAAAAGACGGAUGGUCCUCAAAGGAAUGAGAAUGAGAUAAGCCGGAGGCUGAGAACAUCACUAGAUUCUUGAAUACCAUGGAGCAGAGCUUUCAGAGACUGAAGGAAAAUGGCUUCAACAUAAUGGUCCAGCCCAAGUGACCUUCCAGUGUGAGGACUCACCACAGAAGUUUUUGGAUAUGAGGGAAUUUAAAAAGUUAACUGCUCAUGCAUUUUUUUGGGAGGAAGUAACUAAAGAGCAUACUCCAGCAAAGUAAGGAAAUGAACCAAGAAAAGGGACAAGAAAGACUCUAGAAAACAAUAGUUUUGAACCCCAAAGAGCCACCAGAAGACCCAGGACUGCAUUUGAAUAGCAAGCCUGGAUAUUAACCAUUCCACUGGAGUGGGAGGUCAGAAGGCUCUGGAAGGAAGGACCUGUGAGAAAUGGGCUCCUUAGAGAACAGCGUGCUUGAGACACUGCAGGAACCUGAAGUCACGACAAAGGCAAGCAACGUAAGAGGGAGAAAUGAAAAGCAAAGGGAUGCAGAGUCGUGUAUGAUGCACCUGGUCCAAAUUAGUCCAGGAUUUGGAUAGGAUUCAAGAAUAAGAAUGAAACAGACCCUGAGCAAUUAGAAUUUUAGGAAGCAGGAAGCUAGGAGGCAUUUGUUGGGUAAGGUGAAAGUUUCUUCUAUCCAAAAGAAAAACAAGCUGAACGUACAAGAUAUAAUCCAGAUUUGCAGCAAACCAAAAUGUAUCUUGAUUUUGAGCAAUUGACAGUGUGAAACAAUCAAUUGGAAAUAUUUUCCUUUCAUGACUCAAGGACACUGUCAGUUGAACCACACAGAAGGGUAUGUCAUUCCAGAGCGUGGCUUGACUCAGCAGUGAAUAGAAUUUGCAGUGAAAUCAUGUCAACGUUAUAUUGCUUGUCUCUUGGCUUUUACCUUUGAGAAUCAACCUACAAAUAAAUUCCAUAUCAAUAUUCAUACAUUGAUAAAUGUUAUCCAUCUUAACAACAUAGAAAUGUGUUGACAGAAACUGGGAAGCAGAACUGGGAUGAGUAGAGGCAAUAAUGUCCUCAUUCCACCGAGCAAGAAGCAAGAGACAGAGACCGCAGUUGCUACAGCAAGAAUGAGCAGAGAUAAGAUGUUUAUGUCAUUUAAAUAUCUCCUGAUUUCAGUGGUAAUGCUUACAAAGUUCCACCAGUAAAUAUCAUGUUUCCUGUGGCUUGUUUGUUUGUUUGUUUCUUUCAGGCAGAGUCUCACUCUGUCACCCAGGCUGGAGCACAGUGGUGCUCUCUGGGCUCACUGCAACCUCUACCUCCUGGUUC
rnacentral:lncRNA from 1 species